GAGAAGCUUCGACUAAGGUUCGACUCGAGCGAAGCGAGAGAACGUUGCCGCAGGCAACGGCCCGAAGGGCGAGG
rnacentral:sRNA from 1 species